AGGAUUGUAGUUCAAGUGGUCAGAGCACCGUCCCGUCAAGGCGGAAGCUGCAGGUUCAAGCCCCGUCAGUCCUG
rnacentral:tRNA from 2 species